ACAUCGCUGAUCUUCAUCGAGCGGUAAACUUUCGUUUUAUGCUUUUUAUCUUUGUACUGCAAUCAACGAAUCAAUGGAAAUGAUCAGCCCCCGAAAGAAAAAGGAGAAAAAAACAAAUCUGGUACAGUGAAACGGCGAAGAGUAUCCCGCAAUUGACUUUGGAGAAGUGAAAAAUUGUGCAAGCCAAUUACUGUCUAGCGCCGGAUCGCCCAUAUUUGGAACACCUUACGCCCACGCACCCCGUUCCCUGCGCCCACAACUUACAAGGUCUUUACGGCCCUCGGAAGUGGUACCACGAAAGGAACGGCAGCCGAGUGGGCUUCGCGAUGUAGUAUAAUGUAGCAACGUGAGUGAGAAUUACAUUACAUGGUUCUACGUCGAGCAGCCCCUCCUCGUCAAGGAAUUUAGGCGUGGGCACGCGGUAGCCGCGACGUAUCGAAGAGGCAAAACAAAAAAAAAUCCGUCAAACACCAGCUGCACAUAUUCGCAUGGGUACUCUCGUUAUCGGGACUUCUGAUUACGAAUCAACAAAUCGACGGAUCCAAAGCAGAUCUCGUACACGUGGGAAAACGGCGAGGCUCCGUUCGUUGCAAACGAAUACGGUAAUUCGAGGGGUUUACGAACAACAAUACAGCGUAUACGAGGCGUACCUUGAUCGGGUGAGAUGGCGAGAACGGAUCCAAGGGAAACCGCAACGAGAGCUACGAGGGCGGCAAGCGCCGCGACGCAGCGCAUUUCGAACGGGUGCUGCACUUUCUACUCUUUCGAGUUACCGUUAAUUAAUUUUACAACACCGCGUCUCAUGAAGAUCAAGUGAAGGAUUUCGAACAACUGCAGGAACGGCGAAGGCACAAGAAGAGUCCCGGGGAUCCCUGCUAUCCCGGUGGUUGUCUGUCGUGUGAUUAAUAUUACGAGGGCGAGAUGCGCGGAAUAAUUACCGCACGAACCACUUUUUUUCCCGAAAAUUUUUCGCGCUCUCGCUCGCUCUUUCCUUAUCUUCGCACCGAGCUCGCGGAGAGUCGCACUGGACCGCGGAAUGGGUUUCGCUUUACUUUUAUAGAGCGCCCACGGUAUUUACACUCGUGUACUCCUUUGCGGGACAACCGCCGUCUCCCUCUCAUCCCUCUUGCCUCUCCUACUCCAAAAGGCCUCACGUCCCACGGAUGUCUUUCAAUAUCCCUUCGACUCAACAUACGACUUUGAUUUUACAAGCAGCUCAUUUAUCUGGCGCUUCGCAAGCGCCAUCGAUUUCAAAGGAGUUCCUAUGCCUUAUAACUUAUGCAUAUUUGUUGUAUCAUACCUACGGUAAAUUGCGGAAUCGUAUAGGUCCCGCGAUCGUUUAACGUUUUCCCGAAUCGUCGCGGACGAGGAGAUGAGAAACACGCGCGGCUCCAGGUGUGGCCCAAGUUUCGAAGACAACCGCGACCCACGUAAUAUUGACAAAAAAAAAAUUCAAUAAUCCUUCUAUUCGCGUGGAUGGUUUGAAAAUUUCUUCCAGAAUCGAUCUUGCGUUUAUUCUUAAUUCUUUAUUUUCUCCCUCCCAUACAAUUUGGGAUACGAGAAUCUUCCGUACGAAGAACAAAAUACAUUAUGUAAGAACGUCGAGUGAGGAAAAAAAAUUUUAUCGGUACGAAUUUCCCAUGAAUUUAUAUUUUUAACUUCGAUCCCUUUUUUCCGACGGAGUAAACGGACGGAAAAUGUAUCGUGAUCGAGAUUCUGCUUAUACUUUUUUAGUUUAAUAACGUCUUCUGUAGCACGCGCGAGUCGAAUUUUCAAUUCAAUCUACAAAGUGAAAUGGAAAUUGAGACACAUCGGGUAUACGAGCAGACGUAUCCCUAUAGAUUAGCAGCAAUUUUUCUCAUUAUAUAUUUUUUUAAUGAAUGUAAUUACUCGUCGAUUUUCUCUGCAAUCGAGUUGCUCCGAGAAAAAAAUGAUGUGGGCAGAAAAUAAUCUGAGCGUAGAUGAAUUACGUGUACACCUGAUCAAAUUUUUUUUUCGUCUCACCAAAGUUCGGAGCAAGUUUAUUAUAAGGAGGAUCAAUUAUGUUCGUGACGAACGGUUCGCUCGUUCUUCUGGCAAUAACACAGGCUGUUACUUUCAUUAAAACAUAUUUCAUACAAGUUAGAUGGAAUUUUAUCGUCAUAAUUAAUAACGUAAAGAUACAAUUAUAACACAGCGUAUGUAUGUAUCUCAUUAGAUAUACAUAUGUGGCUCGAUAAUCAUUUACAUUCACAUACAUUUAUGUUACGAUACACUUUGACGUUAAUAUUAAACAUUUUUCGCGCUCACUAUAAUUACAAUUACACACUUAUCAAAUCUGGAUAUACGUGGAAAGGUGUUUAAUCGCUAGACAUUCCAUCGAUUAUUGAUAUUCAAUUUUGUUGUACAAUUUUUGCAUGGUUUCGAAAAUGGAACACAGAUAGUC